rnacentral:rRNA from 1 species
AUUGAACGCUGGCGGCAGGCCUAACACAUGCAAGUCGAGCGAGCGGCGGACGGGUGAGGAAUGUAUGGGGAUCUGCCCGGUAGAGGGGGAUAACUACUGGAAACGGUGGCUAAUACCGCAUACUAUCGGAUGAACCCAUAUUGGAUUAGCUAGUAGGUGGGGUAAAGGCUCACCUAGGCGACGAUCUCUAGCUGGUCUGAGAGGAUGAUCAGCCACACUGGAACUGAGACACGGCCCAGACUCCUACGGGAGGCAGCAGUGGGGAAUAUUGCACAAUGGGCGCAAGCCUGAUGCAGCCAUGCCGCGUGUGUGAAGAAGGCCUUCGGGUUGUAAAGCCCUUUUGGCGGGGAGGCGUUACCCAAAGAAGAAGCACCGGCUAACUCCGUGCCAGCAGCCGCGGUAAUAC